CGAAGAAAUGUGUAUUUUAUUUUUUUUUUCCAAAUAAUCACCUAUGAAAUUAUACUAAAACAAUUAUUCACCUCAGGCUCGGUGAUUAUCGUGAAUAAAAACCUCGACUUCGUCUCGGUUUUUAUCACCGAUAAUCACCUUGCCUUCGGCGAAUAAUUGUUAAAUAAUAAUGGAUUAGUAAAAUGGUUUUCUAUUAUUCACUCCCACAGAUUAUAUUCACCCCCAGUGCUCUCACUUUUAAGGAAUUAUCCUUAAAAAUAGGAAUUUUGAAGAGUUUUAAGGAUUUUUUUAAGGAAUUUAGGGUUUUUUUAAGGAAUUUCCGAAACAUUUUAUCAGGGGACUAAAAACGUUGGACGGAGGAUAACCACGCCACGCAAAUGAGAUUUAAACUUGAAAGUAGCAACAUUUAUAUGCGCACAUAAUUACAUAUAUUCGUAUGUUCUCUAUGUCAUAAAUGUACAUAUGGCUGUCUUUUCAUUAAAAUUCUCAAAAGUUAAAUGUCAGUAUAUGCUGGAGGUCGGCUAUAUUGCGAGUCCGCGAGUCUGCGAGUUGCGAGUCUGCGAGUUUACGGUGUGGAUUUAUUGCCUCGAAAACGCUCACUUAAGUGUAAUUUUGUGUGCUUUGACGAAUUGAUCUUAUAUUUUAUACUUUGACAGACACAAUCGUUUCGCUUUUCCGAAUUUCUCAAAUUUUGGCGGGAAAAUGACGUCAUCGUUUUGGCGCCAAUAUUUUGUUUAAGUGAUAAGACUUCCUUUGUUAAUUUUUCUAAAAUAAGAGGCUAUAUUAUCUUCUAAACCGAAACAAUAAUUGAAUUAUCUUAAUUCAAUCAAGAGUUAUAAAGGAUGGAAUCAGUUCAGAUUUGGUCUAUUUUGGGCUAUUUUUAGUAACAAAAUGGCCGAAAUCUGAACGUUCCAUCCGUUAUAACUCUUGAUCGAAUAAAGAUAAUUCGAUUAUAUCUUCGGUUUUGAAGUUUACACAACAUAUAACUUUUGAAAAAUUAACUAAGGAAGUCUUAACACUUAAACAAAAUAUUGGCGCCAAAAGGAAGACGUCAUUUUCCCGCCAAAAUUUUAAAAUUCGAAAAGUAAAACGAGAGCAUUUCUUAGAAUGAAAAGAUCUGUUAAAGUAUAAAAUAUAAGACCAGUUUGUCACAAAACACACAAAAUUACACUUAAGUGAGCGUUUUCGACGCAAUAAAUCCCCACCGUAAACUCGCAGACUCGCAUAUUAGACAAACUCUAUAUGCUGUUUCUUCUGAAAUCUACAGAUUUUUUAAGCUCUUCAUGCAGCAACGAUAAAAAAUAGCAUCAUG